rnacentral:lncRNA from 10 species
UGCCUGGUGAGUACCUAGCUACUCAUAUUAAGAUAGAGUAUUCUAGUCAUGUGUAUUAAACUAGAAGCUUGGUAACCAUGAGUUCCUCUAAUACAGCAAGUCUACUCCUCAAGGAGAAAAUGUAUUUCUCAGGAAUUUUGUGCAUUUUGUUUGAUGGCAUUUGGUAUGUUUACCAAAAUGGCAGAAAAGAGUGAAAUUAGUCCAUUAUAGUUAAUAUGCAAGUUGACACAGUUGAUACCUGAAAAGCUAGUUCAAGCCAUGGGUCACAUAUGCCUCAUUAUACUCUCCUCGCUUUGGUUUUAAUUUUAAUUUUAAUUUUUAAUUUAUUUUUGUGGGUACAUACUUGGUGUAUAUAUUUAUGGGGGUACAUGACAUACUUUGAUACAGGCAUGUAAUGAGUAAUACAUAAUAAAAAACAGGGUAUCUGUCCCCUCAAGCAUUUAUAGCUUGUGUUAUAAACAAUCCAAUUAAAAUAGUAUUUUAGUUUUUAUAAAAUG